UUCAGCCGAGUAGAAUAUUCGUGAGCCAGACCGCCCCACGCGCCGAGAGGGUCAGAUCGAGUGAUAAUAAUUAUCGAAUUUCGACGCGUCCGCGCGGGUGUCCGUUUUAUAUAUUACAGUCCCCCGGAAAAGGCGGCAAGGCGUAUUUCGGUGUACUUGCGUUAUAAAUUAUUAUUACCGUCGGAAGUCGGCGAAUGAUAAUGGUAUUACACAUAUACUCGACCCGAAUGCGUGGUUAGGUUUGCGGCUU